rnacentral:rRNA from 1 species
GACUGGUUGAGAAGAAUAAGAAAGACCUAUUGAAUUGAAGCAUCUUAAUAAAUAGAGGAAAAGAAAAUAAGAAUGAUAUCGUUGGUAACGGCGAGUGAAAAGGAUAGGAGCCCAAAGACAGGAGACCGCUGUGUGGUUUAGGCAUGGUGGUGAUUCGUGGUGGGUGUAGCUUUGUGGGACAUUGUGUGGGACGUGCUGGGAAGUGCUUGGGGAAAAGGACAGGAUAGAUGGUGAUACUCCAGUAGUUGGGACGUGGGACACAGUGGGUGGACAUGGAGCUUGUGGAGUCAUAUUGCUUGAGAGUGCAAUAUAAAGGUGGUGGUAUAUUCCAUGGGAGGCUAAAUAGAGGUGAGAAGCCGAUAGCAAACAAGUACUGUGAAGGAAAGUUGGCAAGAACUUUGGAAAAAGAGUUGGAAGAGCCUGAAGUUGUGUUGGUGGAAGCAAUUGACUGUAGGACUAGUUGGCAAGUGUUGUGGUGCAUGGUGUCAGUGAUGGCAGUGUGUGUGGCACAGUGUUUGCUUUGUGGCUGUGAUGGAUAGACUGUGGUGGAAAGGACUGAUGGCAGAUAGUCACUGUGUGUCACAACGUGGUGGAUGGUGAAGUAUGGCUGUUGGUUAAUGUAGCUGUGGUGUAUCAGUGAUGGUUAGGAUAUGGUGAAUUGACCCGUCUUGAAACACGGACCAAGGAGUCUCAUUUAUUUGUGAAGAUAAGGAGUUUGUGACAUUGGUGUAUCUGGAAUGAAGAUGAAUUUAGUGAAUAUGAAAGUGCUUUUAGUUUACGGAGCACAGGCAAUAUUGAUUUACCCUGUGGACAACAUGGGGACUAAAUUGGAAUGAAUAGAUGAGGACCCGAAAGAUGGUGAACUAUACUUGGAGAGAAAGAAGUCAGGGGAAACUCUGAUGGAAGUUCGUAGCAGUGCUAACGUGCAAAUUGCUUGUGGGAACUGAGUAUAGGGGCGAAAGACUCAUCGAACCAUCUAGUAGCUGGUUCCCUCCGAAUUUUCCCUCAGGAUUGCAGUCAUUUGGUGUUAGUUAUAUCAAGUAAAGAUAAUGAUUAGAAGGUUGUGGUCUUUGUGUGUUUUCUUUUUUUAGGGGGAAUGCAGCCACAAGCAAGGGGACAAGAAUGGUUCUUUUCUUAUUCUCAAACUUAGAAGUGGUAUAGACAAUGCUGGACUCAUGGUCUUAAGACAAUGGAUGGGUCUGGUGGGAAAUAGAGCAAGUGAUUAGUGGGCCUAAUCUGGUAAGCAGAAGAGGCGAUGUGGGAUGAACCAAAGGAGAAGUUAAGGGGUCAAAGGUGGGGCACACAAGGACGCCAGAAAGGGAGUUGAUUGAUGGAGACAGCAGGACGGUGGCCACGGAAGUUGGAUGACCCGCCAAGAAGUGUGUAACAACUUACCUGCCGAAUUGAUGAGUCCCGAAAAUGGAUGACGCUUCAGUGCCUAUCAUCAAUUGUGCCCAAUACUUUUCUAUCAUGACGACGAUGCUUUUUGCUUUUGAGCGAUGGAUAGUUGUGAUAAGUAGGAGGAAGCGCAUGGGGAGUGUGGAAGCUGUGUGGGAAGACCCAGUGUGGAACAACCUGUGGUGCAGAUCUUGGUGGUAGUAGCAAUUACUCGAGUUCAACGCUUGAGGACCAAAGUGGAGAAGGGUUUCAAGGGAAUGGCAAGCAGCCAAGAGUUAGUCGGUGCUGAAGAGUAGGGGCAACCCGUGGGAAUAGCAGUGGCCUUUUUGUAGGUGAUGCUGGACUCUGAAAGGGAAAUGUGUUAAGAAUGACAUACCUUGGGUUCGUAUUUGGGUGACACGAUGUGUGAUGCUGGCAGGUGCUGUGCAGUGAUGUGUGGUGGUUGUUGGUGUUGGAUGUGGUGUGGCCUGGUGAUGGAUGGCAACAUGAGGGAAUUCCGCGACAGCAGUCACCAUUUCCGUAAAAGUUAUCUUUUGUUAAUAAUCCACGAUUUGUUUGUGCUUUCACUUUUGUUGCUUUUUGUGAUGGAAGUGUUCGGACGACAUAGAGGGAGUGCCAAGAAAGUGAAUGGAUUGGAGCAGUGGCAGGAAGUGGAGAAUAGCAUGGUGGUCAGGCAGUGGUGACAUUGCCAUGGUAGUGGUGGAAGAAUGGUUGUGAUUGCGACGUGAAAAGCGGGAGGAGCAGAGCUGGUGGCUUGUGUGCUUUUGUGGUGCGUGAGUGACACUGGUGGUGGAUAAAGAAGCAAGACCGUACCGAAGACCGCAACAGGUCUCCGAGGUUAGAAGCCUUUGGUGGAAUAGAAGAAAGUAGGUAAGGGAAGUCGGCAAAUUAGUACCGUAAGUUUGCAAGAAGGUAUGGCUCCAAAUUUGUGAGUGUGUGUUGUGUUUAGGUGUGGCUGUUGUGGCUGGUGAUUCGGCUGUGGUGGUUGUGCUUGUUUGUGUCAUUUUUGGCACAGAACACAGACACAGGAAAAGUUUGGAACUGAUAGAAAGAAGGGGAUUUGGACUGUAUAAUAAAAACAAAGCAUUGUGAUGGUGUAGACAAGCGUGUAGACACAAUGUGAAUUCUGCCCAGUGCUGAGAAUGUCAAAGUGAAGAGAUUUAAGGAAGCACGGGUUAACGGCGGGAGUAACUAUGACUCUCUUAAGGUAGCCAAAUGCCUCGUCAUCUAAUUAGUGACGCGCAUGAAUGGAUGAACCAAAAUCCCACUGUCCCUAUGUACUAUCUAGCGAAACCACAGCCAAGGGAACGGGCUUGGCAACAUCAGCGGGGAAAGAAGACCCUGUUG